UCGAGAAUCUUCCGCAAUGGGCGAAAGCCUGACGGAGCGACACCGCGUACAGGAUGAAGGCCUUCGGGUUGUAAACUGUUGUCACGCUAUAGGAACCACUUGUGGUUAACAGCCGCAAGCCUGACUAAAGCGAGAGGAAGCACCGGCUAACUCUGUGCCAGCAGCCGCGGUAAGACAGAGGGUGCAAACGUUGUUCGGAAUCACUGGGCAUAAAGCGCACGUAGGCGGCCCACUAAGUCAGUUGUGAAAGCCCCCGGCUCAACCGGGGAAUGGCAUCUGAUACUGGUGGGCUUGAGGAAGGUAGGGGUGGGCGGAACUCCAGGUGGAGCGGUGAAAUGCGUAGAUAUCUGGAGGAACACCGGUGGCGAAAGCGGCCCACUGGACCUUCUCUGACGCUGAGGUGCGAAAGCUAGGGUAGCAAACGGGAUUAGAUACCCCUGUAGUCC
rnacentral:rRNA from 1 species